rnacentral:rRNA from 1 species
GACGAACGCUGGCGGCGUGCUUAACGCAUGCAAGUCGAACGGAAAGGCCCUGCUUGCAGGGUACUCGAGUGGCGAACGGGUGAGUAACACGUGGGUGAUCUGCCCUGCACUUCGGGAUAAGCCUGGGAAACUGGGUCUAAUACCGGAUAGGAGCCAUUUUUAGUGUGAUGGUUGGAAAGUUUUUUCGGUGUAGGAUGAGCUCGCGGCCUAUCAGCUUGUUGGUGGGGUAAUGGCCUACCAAGGCGGCGACGGGUAGCCGGCCUGAGAGGGUGGACGGCCACAUUGGGACUGAGAUACGGCCCAGACUCCUACGGGAGGCAGCAGUGGGGAAUAUUGCACAAGGGGCGCAAGCCUGAUGCAGCGACGCCGCGUGGGGGAUGACGGCCUUCGGGUUGUAAACUCCUUUCGCUAGGGACGAAGCUUUUUGUGACGGUACCUAGAGAAGAAGCACCGGCUAACUACGUG